GUAGGUGGCAAGCGUUGUCCGGAAUUAUUGGGCGUUAAAGCGCGCGCAGGUGGGUUCUUUAAGUCUGAUGUGAAAGCCCCCGGGCUCAACCGGGGAGGGUCAUUGGAAACUGGGGAACUUGAGUGCAGGAGAGGAAAGUGGAAUUCCACGUGUAGCGGUGAAAUGCGUAGAUAUGUGGAGGAACACCAGUGGCGAAGGCGACUUUCUGGCCUGUAACUGACACUGAGGCGCGAAAGCGUGGGGAGCAAACAGGAUUAGAUACCCUGGUAGUCCACGCCGUAAACGAUGAGUGCUAAGUGUUGGGGGGUUUCCGCCCCUCAGUGCUGCAGCUAACGCAUUAAGCACUCCGCCUGGGGAGUACGGCCGCAAAGACUG
rnacentral:rRNA from 1 species